GACGAACGCUGGCGGCGUGCUUAACACAUGCAAGUCGAGCGGUAAGGCCCUUUCGGGGGUACACGAGCGGCGAACGGGUGAGUAACACGUGGGUGACCUGCCCUCAGCUCUGGGAUAAGCCUGGGAAACCGGGUCUAAUACCGGAUAUGACUCCAUGACGCAUCUUGUGGGGUGGAAAGCCUUGUGCGGCUGAGGAUGGGCCCGCGGCCUAUCAGCUUGUUGGUGGGGUGAUGGCCUACCAAGGCGACGACGGGUAGCCGGCCUGAGAGGGCGACCGGCCACACUGGGACUGAGACACGGCCCAGACUCCUACGGGAGGCAGCAGUGGGGAAUCUUGCGCAAUGGGCGAAAGCCUGACGCAGCGACGCCGCGUGAGGGAU
rnacentral:rRNA from 1 species